rnacentral:rRNA from 1 species
GUUGAAGGUGCGGUAAGACGCACUGGAGGACCGAACCAGGGCACGUUAAAAAGUGCUUGGAUGACUUGUGGGUAGCGGAGAAAUUCCAAACGAACUUGGAGAUAGCUGGUUCUCUCCGAAAUAGCUUUAGGGCUAGCGUCGACAUUAGAGAUUCUUGGAGGUAGAGCACUGUUUGGGUGAGGGGUCCAUCCCGGAUUACCAAUCUCAGAUAAACUCCGAAUGCCAAUGAAUUAUGGUCGGCAGUCAGACUGCGAGUGCUAAGAUCCGUAGUCGAAAGGGAAACAGCCCAGACCACCAGCUAAGGUCCCAAAAUAAUUGUUAAGUGGAAAAGGAUGUGGGGUUGCACAGACAACUAGGAUGUUAGCUUAGAAGCAGCUAUUCAUUCAAAGAGUGCGUAAUAGCUCACUAGUCGAGUGACCCUGCGCCGAAAAUGUACCGGGGCUAAAACAAUUUACCGAAGCUGUGGAUACCUUUAUAGGUAUGGUAGGAGAGCGUUCUAUGUGUGAUGAAGGUAUACCGUGAGGAGUGCUGGAACGCAUAGAAGUGAGAAUGCCGGUAUGAGUAGCGAAAGACAGGUGAGAAUCCUGUCCACCGUAAGACUAAGGUUUCCAGGGGAAGGCUCGUCCGCCCUGGGUUAGUCGGGACCUAAGGAGAGACCGAAAGGUGUAUCCGAUGGACAACAGGUUGAUAUUCCUGUACUAGAGUAUGUAGUGAUGGAGGGACGCAGUAGGCUAACUAAAGCAGACGAUUGGAAGAGUCUGUCUAAGCAGUGAGGUGUGAAUUGAGUCAAAUGCUUAAUUCUAUAACAUUGAGCUGUGAUGGGGAGCGAAGUUUAGUAGCGAAGUUAGUGACGUCACACUGCCAAGAAAAGCUUCUAGCGUUUAACCAUACUCUACCCGUACCGCAAACCGACACAGGUAGUCGAGGCGAGUAGCCUCAGGUGAGCGAGAGAACUCUCGUUAAGGAACUCGGCAAAAUGACCCCGUAACUUCGGGAGAAGGGGUGCUGACUUUAAGUCAGCCGCAGUGAAUAGGCCCAAGCAACUGUUUAUCAAAAACACAGCUCUCUG